CAAGAAUAAUAGGAAGAAGUUAGAAGAAGGAGAAAUGCUUAUAGUUGAGGUUGAGUGAGGUGAGGAGCUAUACACUUGAAAGAAUGAGGGUGAGUGAAACGUCGUCGUGCACUUCCAACUGUUGAAGCUGCCAGCAUGAUCUGAGCUUUCUUUUUAUAAGAAAGGCUAGAUCAUGUGGUAGCUUCAUCUGUUGACUGGAGCAUGGUAGACCCCUUAUCAGCCCCAACUGUUAAUCCACCAGAUUCUUAGCCAUGGAUCUCUUCAAGAACCCAUUAGGGUUUCCAACCCUAGCUAGAAAAGUGUAUGUAUGAAUUCGCCAGAUUAGACUGCAUGACCACAGUAACAACAUUUAGCAGAUCUAGGUGCUUGAUGGAACAUAGUUGCAGAUCUGGUAGAAGGACAAGAAAGAGAAAAAAAAAAGGAAUCGGAGAAUCUGUUUUUGGGGUUGUCCAAACACAUACAUCUCAAGGUGCAGGCAUGCAUGGAACGGUUUGGCAUUUCUUCACUUUCUUUACUUUAAUUUAUGUGAUUGAUUGAUUGAUUGAUGUGGUCCUAAAAUCCAAUUAAGAUCCUUGUUAUAGAUUAACCUGUGCUGAUAAGAAAAUAUCAGACAACAGGUCAUGAUUAUUUCGUUUAUUCAUAUUUCCCGGUCAGCAUAAUGUGUGACAUCUUAUUACGCCAAUGACUAAAACAUGCAUCUUAAUUUCUGGAUAACAUUUAAGCUGCUACCUAACUUUCAUAAUGUAAGCAAAAACUGCAGCACUGCAUGAAACCAGUUGUGUAUAUAUAUUCUCUUCUAGAGUUGUAUCUAUGUUGUUCACUUUGUUUUGUUUGGAAGCCCCAUUUGGCUACACUCCAUACAAGCUUUAUGGUUA